UUCUCCAGGGCCGUUUUGUGCAGCUCUGCCACUGUUUACAUAGUACUGCUGAUAUACUGGUAUCACCUGGCAACCAUUUCCCCAUCUUCCUUCAGCCUCCUAAUCUCAUCACUCACUGUUCAGGAUGGAAGGAGUUUUUACAUCAGCAUGGUGGGGUGGACGAGCCCAGUGAAGAUUCAUCGCAGCCUGGUUGUUGUACCAUUUGUGCAGAGUCAGGAAAAAAAAGUGGAGGUUGAGAGAAGGAGUCAGGAGGAAAGUGAUCACAAUGAAUUACAAGGAAUAAAUUCCUUCUGUGCUGGGAGGAGGGCGUGAGGAAUAAACAGGUGGUCACCCACAAGGCUGCUGAAAUCUACAAGGAGAACAGCAGGAAUGGUUCUUGAGGCCCAGCUGGCCAUUAGAAUCACUCGAAGAGCUGUGAUUGGGUCCUCCGGCAGGGUAAUGGCCAGGACCUCAGUCACAGAAUGAGGUCUGAGAACCAUCUGAUCUCAGAGGAAAGGCAUCAGUGAGAUGAAAACACCAUGGGUGGGGCCAGCCUUCCAGCCAGACCUCUGCGGCUCCAUGGAUCCUCUGUCUUGAAGAUGAUCUCUGCCCGGACCAGUUGAGGCCACAGUGGCUCAUAGAAAGGACGUGUGAGCUGGUAAAAGUCUGAUAGAGGGGGCACAUGGAACAGAGUUCAUGAACAGAUGGACAGGCAGUGCUGAGGGCAUUGGGGGGUGGUCGGGUCAAGUGACGCCCAAUGAGACCUUCCAGAGAAGCAGGUGUUAGUAAUGACGUAGGGAGUUGAAAAUUGAAAAGCAUCUCCAAUGAACUUACAUGUUCAGGGCCAUGCCUCACCAAACCAAAACCUCCUUCUCCAAAA